ensembl:lncRNA
AGAAUGUAAAGCAGCCAGCCUCUUGGGUCAUGUAGUGACUCUCAAUAGGUGAUGGGGGGUGGGGAAGACAGCUUCGGAAGCCCACCUGGCAAAAAAUCCACACUGGGGGCGAGAGAUAAACCGGCACAUUCCCCAGACUGACCCACUAGGCUUCUUUCAUAACUUACUGGCAAUGAGCUGAGGAAGCUGUGAGUCUGGGAGUUAUUGAUUUUCUCUCAUCAUCAAAAUUCCUGCUUUUGGUGAGGGAACCAAUGCCAAGUAAGCACAGAACCUGUCUUCUCUCUGGACCAGAGCAGCUCAUGCCCCUUCAGAAAAACAGGCCUGGUGCAGUGGCAGAGUGAGAGCUCAGCGGCAGUGGGCAGAGAACUUCAGCAGAGUGACAUUUUGGUCAUGAAGCCCAAACGCACUGGCUCUCAACUGCAUCUCUUCUCUGGGGCCUUGGGGUCGGGGCGACUCCUCGUGCUACAGCAGCUGCAGGAAGCGCUGAGUGACAUCACCUCCCCCUAAGCCAAGAAGCCUCCACAAGGUCAGGCCUGGAGGAGCUGUCUUUAGGCAGAGAACACACAAACAAUCUACCUCUUUCCGCCCAGGGGAAUGAGCUCACAGCUCCGGGGAGCACAGCUCUACACGUGUGCCAGGUGGUGACAGGGUUAGUGUGCUAGCACUUCUGACACCCUGCAGGUGCUUCAUUCAUGGGACACCACCCAGUCUGUACCAGAUGGUGGGGUGGGAGAUGGACACCCAGCUCCAGACCUUCCCUCGCUUUAAGUUAUAAGGCCUUUGGGAGACAGACUCGCCCAUUUUCUUGGACUGGGUUGUAUGGAUGUUUGCCCAAUCAGAAUGGGAUAGAUAACUGGAGUAGGGUGGGGAUGGAGAAGAGGUUCUCGAGAGAUUACUCUACAAAUAAAAAUUCCUGGCAAUUGCCUCUCACUUCUAUCACCAACUGUUAUUCUCUGGGUCAUGGAAAUUCCCGUAUUGCUGGCCAUAUGUGGGGAUACAGUGGAAGAGUUCAAGGAAAGCUGAUUGGCUCACCGAUUGGUGAGCAGAGCUAUAUAGAAUGGAAAAGAAGCCCCCACAAUGAGUUGGACAACCUGACCCUAACCUGGGCUCCCCUAUUCUCUACCCUGCUUUUACCAAAGUCAAGAGGCAAAGAGUUCAAAUCCACCCAUAUUUUAGUUCCACGAUAAAUGAGCUCUUGUUGAUGUACAACUCCUAAUACAAUUGGCCUGACCGUACCCUGCUUUCUCAUCACAGAUGGGAAAUGGGCAUGAAUCAAACCAAUGUAUGUCUUUGAAUGCUUCAGAAGAAAAGGUUCCAGUUGGAUGCCCAUGUUUCAAUUCCCUGUAAUUUCCUUAUUUGAAUCUGUUGAGGGCUCAGAAUUUCUGUGUCAAGAGGUGUGCGUUUAUCUGCCUGACGAGAUGAGGUCUCAGGGACCCCCACUUUUUAGAACAACCCAUGAAGUGGCUGGGGCAAGUAGUACUAUCCACAUUUGACAGAUGAGGAAACACAGACUGAGUGAGAUUGUGGCUUGCUAGUUACACAGCUAACAAGGGACGUCUCCUUCCAAGAACCCAUGUCUUCAGACAGCAAGUCUAGCACUCCUUGAACCACAUAGCCACCUCCACAUGUUGCCAUUUGGCUCAUUAGACAAAAACACUACUUAUGGCCUGGAUCUGCCCUGAGUCUCAAGGAGAAUUCCCACAGCAACUCUAAGUUAUUUUCACAAGGCGAGCAGAAGUUCCUGCUAAUAAUUCCUGGCUCUCUCUUAAUAUUGUCUUCCCUCCUAAUUAAAAAGGAAAUAUGUUAAGCCAAACAUGGUAGCCUUGUGACUCUUACCUCCCAAUCAGAGUCAAGAUUUAUGUUAAUUCCCAACCAAGCUGUCAGUUAACCAAGCUUUGAGAAGAAGGGACACAGAUGAGGCCAAAUUAUGGUGAUAUGAUUCGACAAACUCAGAGGAACCACCGUCCGGGGAGAGCCUCCAACGUCCCAGAGGCAAGGGGAAGUUUUUAACACAUAUCUAAACCUACCACCUGCCAGGCACUCCCCAGACAUCAGUAUGCAUUUUGUCUUCUGUACACAUUCUAGCUGCAGCCCUUAAUAAGGGUGGGGAAUUUCAGCUCGAACAUACAGAGCAACCUUUCUUUUAGGGGUCUUAGAAAGAGUAUGUCUCCAUGGGGAGAGGGAGGGGUUGGAAACAAUGACCUGUAAGGAUAAUUUCCACUCUAAAAGUCUAAAAACAAACUAUCCCCAAUCCAUUAAACAACAAGUGGGUUGCCACUAAAAAUCAUUUUGCAAAGAGUGGCAAAGGUGACAGGGACUCUGGCUACUCCCCAAAACUCCAUUGAUGAGGUCUUAGCAUCAAACGGAUUAGAUUUAACAAGUGCCCCUGUCCCAGGCAUGGCAACUAGGAUAGAAACCAUCCCCUGUUUGACCCAAAUGAGAAGCUAAGAGGCUGGUUACCGC